rnacentral:rRNA from 1 species
CUAGCUGUAAACGAUGGAUACUAGGCGUUGAGAGUAUCGACCCUCUCAGUGUCGUAGCUAACGCGUUAAGUAUCCCGCCUGGGGAGUGCGCGCGCAAGCGUGAAACUCAAAGGAAUUGACGGGGGCCCGCACAAGCGGUGGAGUAUGUGGUUUAAUUCGAUGCAACGCGAAGAACCUUACCAGGGCUUGACAUGUCCGGAACCCUGCCCAAAGGCGGGGGUGCCUACGGGAACCGGAACACAGGUGGUGC